UACGUAGGAGGCGAGCGUUGUCCGGAUUCACUGGGCGUAAAGGGCGCGUAGGCGGCGGCUUGAGUCCCUGCGUGAAAUCUCCCGGCUCAACCGGGAGGGUGCGCGGGAUACUGGGCGGCUUGAGGACAUCAGAGGAGAGCGGAAUCCCCGGUGUAGUGGUGAAAUGCGUAGAUAUCGGGGGGAACACCAGUGGCGAAGGCGGCGACCUGGGCCAAUAUUGACGCUGAGGUGCGAAAGCGUGGGGAGCAAACAGG
rnacentral:rRNA from 1 species